UGCUCAUCUGAAUGCAGUGGUGUUUAGAAUUGAUUGAUAACUACCGUUACAGAUUUCUUUGUUCCUUCUCCCCAUCCACUGCUUCAAUUGACUAGCCAAAA
ensembl:misc_RNA Y_RNA Y RNA